rnacentral:rRNA from 1 species
UACGGAGGGGGCUAGCGUUGUUCGGAAUUACUGGGCGUAAAGCGCGCGUAGGCGGCCCUGUAAGUCCGUUGUGAAAGUCAAAGGCUCAACCUUUGAAAGCCGAUGGAUACUGCAGGGCUAGAGUCCGGAAGAGGCGAGUGGAAUUCCUGGUGUAGCGGUGGAAUGCGCAGAUAUCAGGAGGAACACCAAUAGCGAAGGCAGCUCGCUGGGACGGUACUGACGCUAAGGCGCGAAAGCGUGGGGAGCGAACAGG